rnacentral:rRNA from 1 species
UACGUAGGGUGCAAGCGUUGUCCGGAAUUAUUGGGCGUAAAGAGCUCGUAGGCGGUUUGUCGCGUCUGCUGUGAAAACGCGAGGCUCAACCUCGCGCCUGUAGUGGGUACGGGCAGACUAGAGUGCGGUAGGGGAGAUUGGAAUUCCUGGUGUAGCGGUGGAAUGCGCAGAUAUCAGGAGGAACACCGAUGGCGAAGGCAGAUCUCUGGGCCGUAACUGACGCUGAGGAGCGAAAGCGUGGGGAGCGAACAGG